GAGCGAUGUCAUUCACCUGAAUCUCCCGUGUGGAUCAAACCCGAUGAGCUUUUUAACCCUGAGCGCG